rfam:Brachypodium distachyon strain Bd21 chromosome 2, whole genome shotgun sequence.
GUAAUACUCCCUCCGACCGGAAUUACUUGUCGAAAUAUUACAUGUAUCUACAUGCUUUUUAAACAUAGAUACAUCCAUAUUUGGGCAAAUUUGAGACUAGUAAUAUGGGUCGGAGGGAGUACUAC